AAGCUGCGGGAGCUGCAGGACCCCUCCGAGGACGAGCCCAACAUCCGCGUCAUCCUGGAGCACCGCUUCUACAAGGAGAAGAGCAAGAGCGUGAAGCAGACGUGCGACAAGUGCAGCACCAUCAUCUGGGGCCUCAUCCAGACCUGGUACACCUGCACAGGGUGCUACUACCGGUGCCACAGCAAGUGCCUGCCGCUGGUCACCAAGGCGUGCGUGAGGUCCAAGGUGAGCCACCAAGCCGAGUACGAGCUCAACAUCUGCCCCGAGAGCGGGCUCGACAGCCAGGACUACCGCUGCGCCGAGUGCCGGGCCCCCAU